rnacentral:rRNA from 1 species
UACGGAGGGUGCAAGCGUUGUCCGGAUUUAUUGGGUUUAAAGGGUGCGUAGGCGGCUUUUUAAGUCAGAGGUGAAAGACGGUUGCUCAACAAUCGCAGUGCCUUUGAUACUGGAGAGCUUGAGUACAGUUGAGGUAGGCGGAAUGCAGGGUGUAGCGGUGAAAUGCAUAGAUACCCUGCAGAACACCGAUUGCGAAGGCAGCUUACUAAGUUGUUACUGACGCUGAGGCACGAAAGCGUGGAGAUCAAACAGG